rnacentral:rRNA from 1 species
GGGUAGUUUGACUGGGGCGGUCUCCUCCCAAAGAGUAACGGAGGAGCACGAAGGUUGGCUAAGCAUGGUCGGACAUCAUGCGGUUAGUGCAAAGGCAUAAGCCAGCUUGACUGCGAGAGUGACGGCUCGAGCAGGUACGAAAGUAGGUCUUAGUGAUCCGGUGGUUCUGAAUGGAAGGGCCAUCGCUCAACGGAUAAAAGGUACUCCGGGGAUAACAGGCUGAUACCGCCCAAGAGUUCAUAUCGACGGCGGUGUUUGGCACCUCGAUGUCGGCUCAUCACAUCCUGGGGCUGAAGUAGGUCCCAAGGGUACGGCUGUUCGCCGUUUAAAGUGGUACGCGAGCUGGGUUUAGAACGUCGUGAGACAGUUCGGUCCCUAUCUGCCGUGGGCGUUGGAAGAUUGAAAGGGGCUGCUCCUAGUACGAGAGGACCGGAGUGGACGCACCACUGGUGUUCGGGUUGUCAUGCCAAUGGCAUUGCCCGGUAGCUAAGUGCGGAAAAGAUAACCGCUGAAAGCAUCUAAGCGGGAAACUUGCCUUGAGAUGAGUCUUCCCUGACCCUUUAAGGGUCCUAAAGGAACGUUUAAGACUAAGACGUUGAUAGGUUGGGUGUGUAAGCGUAGCGAUACGUUGAGCUAACCAAUACUAAUGAACCGUGAGGCUUAACCUG